GACGAACCGUGCGAACGUUGUUCGGAAUCACUGGGCUUAAAGGGCGCGUAGGCAGCAUGGCAAGUGGAAGGUGAAAUCCCUCGGCUUAACCGAGGAACUGCCCUCCAAACUGCUUUGCUUGAGGCCGGGAGAGGUGAGUGGAAUUCCCAGUGUAGCGGUGAAAUGCGUAGAUAUUGGGAGGAACACCAGUGGCGAAGGCGGCUCACUGGACCGGUUCUGACGCUGAUGCGCGAAAGCGUGGGGAGCAAACGGG
rnacentral:rRNA from 1 species